rnacentral:rRNA from 1 species
UGAGGAAUAUUGGUCAAUGGGCGAGAGCCUGAACCAGCCAAGUCGCGUGAAGGAUGAAGGUUCUAUGGAUUGUAAACUUCUUUUAUUCGAGGGUAAAGUGAGGUACGUGUACCUUAUUGCAAGUAUCGAAUGAAUAAGCAUCGGCUAACUCCGUGCCAGCAGCCGCGGUAAUACGGAGGAUGCGAGCGUUAUCCGGAUUUAUUGGGUUUAAAGGGUGCGUAGGCGGAUUAUUAAGUCAGCGGUGAAAGCGUGUGGCUCAACCAUACAAUUGCCGUUGAUACUGGUAGUCUUGAGUGUAAACGAGGUAGGCGGAAUGUGAUGUGUAGCGGUGAAAUGCUUAGAUAUCUGGAAGAACAUCAGUGGCGAAGGCGGCUAUCUGGCUCGUAACUGACGCUGAGAUGCGAAAGCGUGGGUAGCAAACAGGAUUAGAUACCCUGGUAGU